CAAUAGCGUAUAUUAAAGUUGUUGCAGUUAAAAAGCUCGUAGUUGGAUUUCUGGACGGAGCAGCCGGUCCGCCGCUGUGCGGUGUGUACUCGUGCUUGACUCGGUUCAUCCUUGUGGGGAAGCGCAUUUCGGCAUUCAGUUGUCGAGGCGGGGAACCACAUCAUUUACUGUGAAAAAAUUUGAGUGUUUAAAGCAGGCAUUUUGCUGUGAAUACAUUAGCAUGGAAUAAUAACAUAGGACUUUGAUUCUAUUUUGUUGGUUGGAGAUCAAGGUAAUGAUUAAUAGGGAUAGUUGGGGGUAUUCAUAUUUAAUUGUCAGAGGUGAAAUUCUUGGAUUUAUGAAAGAUGAACUCAUGCGAAAGCAUUUACCAAGGAUGUUUUCAUUAA
rnacentral:rRNA from 1 species